rnacentral:rRNA from 1 species
UUAGCGAUAGCUGGUUUCUCAGGAAAAGAAUAUUAGUCCAACCUAAAGUAAUAAAAAUAUAACAAAAUAACCCCUAUACUUUAGAGCAAUUCAAAUAAGGUACAGCCUAUUUGAUACGGGAUACAACCCCAAAUAAAGGGUUAACUUCAAAUUCUUAACUUAAGUUGGCCUAAAAGCAGCCACCUUUUAAAAAGCGUCAAAGCUUAAUAAAAUAUAAUCUAAUUUGUCACUUUUUAGUUACCCCUUCUCCAUUACUGAGAAAUUCUAUAAAAUUAUAGAAAUUUUUAUGCUAAAACUAGUAACAAGAGGUUACCCCUCUCCAAGAUGUAAGCACAAACCAGAAAGAAUCGAUCACUGGUAUCUAACAAACUUUUACUAAAGUAAUAACCCCCCCUAGAAAACAUUACUAUUAUUUUUAUUGUUAACCUAACACAAGAGCAUCCCAAGAAAGAUUAAAAGAAAAAGAAGGAACUCGACAAACACUAGCCCCGCCUGUUUACCAAAAACAUCACCUCUUGACUACUAUAAGAGGCCAAGCCUGCCCAGUGACCUAAAUGUUCAACGGCCGCGGUAUCCUAACCGUGCAAAGGUAGCGUAAUCACUUGUCUCCUAAAUAGAGACUAGUAUGAAAGGCUUCACGAGGGUUAAACUGUCUCCUUUCUCCAAUCAGUGAACCUAAUCCCCCCGUGAAGAAGCGGGGAAAACAUAUAAGAAGAAG